CGGGGUGCUAUAAUGCAGUAGAACGCUGAAGAGAGGAGCUUGCUCUUCUUGGAUGAGUUGCGAACGGGUGAGUAACGCGUAGGUAACCUGCCUUGUAGCGGGGGAUAACUAUUGGAAACGAUAGCUAAUACCGCAUAACAAUGGAUGACACAUGUCAUUUAUUUGAAAGGGGCAAUUGCUCCACUACAAGAUGGACCUGCGUUGUAUUAGCUAGUAGGUGAGGUAAUGGCUCACCUAGGCGACGAUACAUAGCCGACCUGAGAGGGUGAUCGGCCACACUGGGACUGAGACACGGCCCAGACUCCUACGGGAGGCAGCAGUAGGGAAUCUUCGGCAAUGGGGGCAACCCUGACCGAGCAACGCCGCGUGAGUGAAGAAGGUUUUCGGAUCGUAAAGCUCUGUUGUAAGUCAAGAACGGGUGUGAGAGUGGAAAGUUCACACUGUGACGGUAGCUUACCAGAAAGGGACGGCUAACUACGUGCCAGCAGCCGCGGUAAUACGUAGGUCCCGAGCGUUGUCCGGGAUUUAUUGGGCGUAAAGCGAGCGCAGGCGGUUUGAUAAGUCUGAAGUUAAAGGCUGUGGCUCAACCAUAGUUCGCUUUGGAAACUGUCAAACUUGAGUGCAGAAGGGGAGAGUGGAAUUCCAUGUGUAGCGGUGAAAUGCGUAGAUAUAUGGAGGAACACCGGUGGCGAAAGCGGCUCUCUGGUCUGUAACUGACGCUGAGGCUCGAAAGCGUGGGGAGCGAACAGGAUUAGAUACCCUGGUAGUCCACGCCGUAAACGAUGAGUGCUAGGUGUUGGAUCCUUUCCGGGAUUCAGUGCCGCAGCUAACGCAUUAAGCACUCCGCCUGGGGAGUACGACCGCAAGGUUGAAACUCAAAGGAAUUGACGGGGGCCCGCACAAGCGGUGGAGCAUGUGGUUUAAUUCGAAGCAACGCGAAGAACCUUACCAGGUCUUGACAUCCCGAUGCUAUUUCUAGAGAUAGAAAGUUACUUCGGUACAUCGGUGACAGGUGGUGCAUGGUUGUCGUCAGCUCGUGUCGUGAGAUGUUGGGUUAAGUCCCGCAACGAGCGCAACCCCUAUUGUUAGUUGCCAUCAUUCAGUUGGGCACUCUAGCGAGACUGCCGGUAAUAAACCGGAGGAAGGUGGGGAUGACGUCAAAUCAUCAUGCCCCUUAUGACCUGGGCUACACACGUGCUACAAUGGUUGGUACAACGAGUUGCGAGUCGGUGACGGCGAGCUAAUCUCUUAAAGCCAAUCUCAGUUCGGAUUGUAGGCUGCAACUCGCCUACAUGAAGUCGGAAUCGCUAGUAAUCGCGGAUCAGCACGCCGCGGUGAAUACGUUCCCGGGCCUUGUACACACCGCCCGUCACACCACGAGAGUUUGUAACACCCGAAGUCGGUGAGGUAACCUUUGGAGCCAGCCGCCUAAGUGA
rnacentral:rRNA from 1 species